CCUUGCCUCUGGCAGCUACUCUGUCCAGCUCCACUGCCCUCAGCAGGGAGUGGGCGGCUGUGGGGCUUCUUUGUGUAUCUCUCUUCUGUGUUGGCUUCAUGAAGUGGCUGUUUCACGUGAAUGAAGUUAACUUCUCCACCACUGGAGAAUGGGAAGAAAACACGUGGCCAGAAAUAACUCGGAUGGGAGCUGGAAACAAGUCACCUGAUGAUGAGGUUGCCUGGUUUUCUACCCACUUACAGGUCAGUCAUUUGAUGGGUCCACUUACUGAGACCAGGCGAUAUGCUCACAGACCAAAACAGACAGGAUGGUAUGAAGCCGAGUCAGUGCCAGAGGUAGAGUCCAUCUGAGACGCAUGCGGCUGCUAAUGGUAAAGCAUAGCACACCACUUACAAUUCAUUUCUCUAACGAAGCAUCACCGAAAGUAGCACACCCUAUGAGAACGGUGAAAAGUAUAGCCCACGUCUGCACUGGAAGCUCAUUCAUUUCAAGGAUCUAUGAUACCGCCAGCUCUCGUCUCACUGAUCGUCUGGGUCCUCCUAUCCUGUGUGUUGUCUGCAAUCGACACCAUUAUGUGGCAUGUGACUAUACACGAGCUAAUAGGUAAUGCUUCUGGUCUGGAUGGUUUGUAAAGGACCUAAUAAAAAGAGAAGCAAAACCUCAAUUGGAGGAUGAGGCAUAGAGGAUGUAUCUAUGAGACAGCUCAUGGCACAUGAAGACAUUCUGACCACAGAGAAACAGAAUGGACAGGCCACUGACACUGACCAACCUCUGGUAUUUGUUAACACAGCACCGGGGCAGUGAAACCAUGAUUAGUCAUAGGAAUGGGUUUAUAUAAUGCAUAGGCCCCAGGGCAAGGGCUCCUGCCCACAAAGAUUGAUGUAGCUGAUGCUGCAGCAGGCUAGCAACAGAGGCUAAUGCUGAGUUCUGCUGUGGGACCAUCCAUCCAGGCACAUAACCAGCAAUUGUGGAAACUGUACAUCUGAUUAAUGCCUACAGGUUCUACCCCCAAAAUGGCAGUGAUUCAUUUAAACUGGAACAAACACUUUCCAGGUGGGAGUUUGAUAUUUUUGGCUCCAGGACCUCAGCUAGCACCAUUUUCUGAGAUAGCAUAGAGUGCUUGUCAUCAGCACAGUGUUCCACUUCCCAUCAUUGUAGAAUACCAGGCACACUGCAGCAAAUGAGGUGAAUCGCUGGGUUGUGCUCCUGGGAUCCAUGAGUCAUCAAGUAUCUGUUUCCCUAGAGGUUCCCAGCAAGAGUGUAGUUGAUGGCCUGCAGAAGGUAUAGUUGAACUACUAGUUUGGAGAGAAUGCCUUAUUAAUAUGCAAUCAAUCUUUGAGAAUCAAUACAUACCUGCAAAGUCAUGACAGUAAUGUUGUAUCCCUGGUAGGUAAAAUCCA